rnacentral:rRNA from 1 species
UACGGAGGGUGCAAGCGUUAUCCGGAUUCACUGGGUUUAAAGGGUGCGUAGGUGGGUUGGUAAGUCAGUGGUGAAAUCCCCGAGCUUAACUUGGGAACUGCCAUUGAUACUAUCAGUCUUGAAUACCGUGGAGGUCAGCGGAAUAUGUCAUGUAGCGGUGAAAUGCUUAGAUAUGACAUAGAACACCAAUUGCGAAGGCAGCUGGCUACUCGGAUAUUGACACUGAGGCACGAAAGCGUGGGGAGCAUACAGG